GGCUAGUACUAUGGCUGGGACCCUAUAUGUACUGUUGAUGAAGUUAGGUGCUGUUCUGAGCAUUAUUUGUGGCUAUAGAGUGACGUUUUGGUUGAGGUUUGUUUAUGGCUCCUCAGACCGCUGUGCAUCGCUAUCAUUACUCAAGUUGGUAAAACUAGAGAAGCAAGCGGUCUGCAACAUUCAUCUCUCAAGGGGGUGUCUAACUUGGUGUCAUGUUGUGUUUGACCCUAAAUUAAUUUUACGCCGGAAAUAUUACAUUUACUACAAUAUACUACAAUACUACAUUUACUUACUAAAGGUUAGCCCUUCUUGUCUCUCUGUGCCAACUUAAAAAAAAUAAACCUUGUGCAAUGACUGACAAUAAAGCAGUGAUGAAUUUACAUGGACAAAUAUGUACUUUUUUUCACUCACUUCUUUGCUCUCCUCCUCCUUCUCUUAGCUGUAUUUUCCCAGUUUUACAUUCUUCAAAGAUGGCGGCCCUCUGCUAAUGUGUGUGCCAAGUGAUGGACUGAAAAGAACACAGAGACGUGGACGCAUCAGUGGAGAAGAAGUGAGACUGCAGGGACUGAGAGUGAGCAGGGCUAACAGGGAGGUAAUGGGACAUAUGUUGGAUGUGGUCACACGGGCUGGAGAAUUACCUGUGGUAAUUGGGGAACAGGGGAAGCAGCAGACAGAUUGUAUUACCUGAAGGACUUACACACCAAUCACACACACACAUACACACACAGGAAACCCAUGGAUCAGAGUAGAAGUAGCUCAGGCAACAUUGUCCAUGAGCUGUUCAGUUGACUUUGACUCCCACAGGUUAAGCGAUAAAAAUAAUCAACUGUAUUGGUUAUGUUUCAUGGUAUGGAGGUGGUUUGCAGGAGUUAUUUUAAAUGCUCUCUGAAUCACAGCUUUCACUCCUAACAUUCUCCCUCUUGUACUUGUAUGUUUCCACUUAGACUACCCAGAGCUGUAGGUCCAAAGGAACUACUUUUUGAAAACCUAGAAGCCUCCUUGUAGCAGCAUGUUGUCUGCAGUUGCAGGUAAAUGUCACUGUAUAUGCAGGAGAUUCGGCAUAUUUGGGUAUAAAAAGGCUUUUUUUUUUUGCACAUUAUUUUUGGAUGUGACAGGAUAACAAUGUCAAAGCCAUAUGAAGUGGUGUCAGAUUGUUAGAGGUCGCCGAUUUGAAUCUUGGUUGUAUUUAGUCCUCAGAAUAAAUGUUUAAUAUGAGUUCAGCUCCCCCUUUGCUGUCAUCUGCAAUUCUGUUGAUGCAUUAAAACUUGGACUAUCAGUGUCAAUGCAUUACUGAUGUUACAGAGGUGCAAAAGUUACACUUUAAAAUAAAAUAUCACUUGCUUUUCUGUUCCUGUUCUGGCUGCCAGUGUGAAAACUGUAAAUAAAGACACCACUGUGCCUUUAAACUGCAAAUUUCACUGAAAACAACUCCCAGAGUUUUCAGUCAGCAUGUCAGAAGUUAUACACACUCUGUGUCAAAGAGAAUAAAAAUAUUACCAAAGCUUAUCAGAAAAUGUUUACAAAGACGGAUACUGGACUACUGCAAGAAUCGAAUCAUUGCUAGAUGCACGUCCACCUCCACUACAGUAGGGGGCGACAUCCCCUUUUCAGCUUUGUACAACUUCAUUUGUUUACCACUCCGCUCCCUGCCAACCUGCUUAUGUUAUUAACCUUUUAGACUAAAGCCUGGGGUGAGAAUUUUGGAACAUGUGCAGACUGCUUAGGCCAGUUUAAGUCCAGUUGAGCUGUGUUCAUGGCAAAAGAAGAAUCAAUCCAAAACGACAUUAUCUAGGCGUAUUUGUCCAACUCAGGCAAUAAAUCAAGCUAAACCCAAUUCAACACAGCUCAACCAUAGACUGUUUAUAGAAUGGACGCCAUCUGCCUGAAGCCACCGUGAGAACAGCACCCUCUGGUGACAGGCUGCAGUAUAGGUCAUAAGUCCCGCCUUGUCCAGCAAUCCCUAUGGAGCCGUUGACAAACUUUGGAAAUAAAUAACACAGAAUAUAAUUUUUUCUCCCCCCUGGUUGUGAUGUUGACAUGUAGUUACUGUCAGACUGGUUUGUGCUCAAGUCCUCUUUUUUCUGUACAGCUCUAUUUUUAAAAGUUAUUAAGGGGUUCAUGUUUUCGAUGAUUGACACCUGAUACAGCCUAUGGGCGUACGAAGAUUGCGUAGCUCACUCGGGGGAUACGCUGUUUGAGCAGAACAUUAUUACAGCGACUCCCCCGCCGAAUGCGUACAAUGCUACUGCUCAAGUGGUGGAGAAAAUCCUGUAAAUACCGAGAGCAAUUCGGCUUCAAAUUCAUAUAAAGACGGAAGGCGGUGCUAUGUUGUUUAUAGUUUAUUCAGUCUAUGAGCUCAACUCAGCAUCCCAGUUCACAGCAGUAGAUUCUUAGUUGGUUGGUGGCUAAAUUAAACUCUGAAAAAUAAGUCAGAGUUGUUCAUUUCUUUAAGCCCAGGCAACCAGCUAGUCCUUUGUCGUUGCAGUAAUGAUCAAAUCAAUCGUUUUCAGUGUCUGGUCCCUGCAGUUAGCUUAAUGACAUUAGUGCUGUACCAAUUUUACUUAAACUGAUUAGUUAGUCCUACAGUCAUGAGAAGUACUUACCCUGAGCAGAAUUUAUGAAAAUCUGUAGCUGAAGCAAGAGCCACAAGUCCACAUGCACGUUGAACAUUUGGACCACUUAGUAUGAAAGACAGGCACAUUUAGAAAUCGACUACCACCAUCAUGGAAGUGUAAUACCGAACAAUUGCUUGAGUUUUCUGCAGUCUUCUCAUAACCCCUCAUCACAGGUUGGAUGUAUGAGUGAACUCAAAAAGGGAUUUUCGUCUGAUCAGGUGGGAUCUGUUUCUUGGACUGUUUGAUUUGUCGGCUCUUCAGAAGCCUGAAGGGAUGACUGCAUGUUUUAUAAAAAGACGGGGGAAAAAAAUGAAAGAAAAGGGAUCUUUUCAGCUUAGCUCAUUCUCAGCUCAAGUAUAAUGAAAAAGAGCUUUGAAGCAUAGACUAAAGAACAACUUAAUGCUUUGAGACAACAAGGCAAGGCAAAUGUGUUUCCACAGCACCUUUAACACUACCUUAAUCCUUGGAGCUAAACCUAAGACAACAACAUAGAAAUCAAUAGAAAAUGGAAAACGAGGCCACAAUGGUGCAGAGUAUGCAGGUCAACCUCACGCAGCUUGUGUUCAGGCUUUGCCAUAAUGUGUACAUUAGAAUUAAAAGACUCGGGCAUUACUGUUUAAUGGCUCUGAACUAAAUUAAACAUUUAAAAGGCUCCACCAUCAAAGUGAUGUAAAGGGAAAUAAAUAUUAAUGAAUGAACCAACACUUGGUUCAAAGGGUUGGAAGCUGGGGAAAUUAAAAGGGGGGUUAGGGUCCGCGUACGGGAAGAUGUUCGGUGGGGGGAACGCAGCACUGAAGGGGUUUGAUUCCCUUUAGACCACACGUGUAAUCCAAUGAAUAAAUUUAUGUUUCUCUGAGGCAUGUUGGUUUAAAGCAUAUAUUUUAAAGUGCACCAUACUGCAUAAACGGUGUGUUUAUAAUCUGAGAAGAACAUGUGAGCCAUGAAAUCUGUGAAACAUGAAUGACUCGUGUCUUGUGUCAGCGUUUCUCAUGCUCAAAUACCUUACAUAUGAAAUAAGACAUGAAUACAUAUACAGUAACCUUCAGGCAGGUAUUGAUUCAGUCUUUUGAAAUAAUCCUGUUGUUUUUAUUUCCCUUCAAGUGCGACUGUCUUUAAUUUUGAUCCCAUAGCUUAGAUUAGCACAUGUCACUAUUGGUGCAUUUAGAGCUCAUCAAUACUAUUAGUUGCCCGUCUCAUAGUUUUACACAAAAACAAACAGGAGAGGAUCCAAGUGUAGACUUGACAAAUGAAAAGUUGAUUUAACAAAAAACAUAAUUUGGAACAACAAAAAAUUUACCUCAAAUGGAAAUUUCCAAUUGAAAUUGAGUUAGUCUUUGACUCCGAGCCUCAGUCGGCGUAGGAUCAGCCACUCCAGAGUUUUUUAUAAUGUGUGAAGUAAGGGCCACUGGUCUGUAGUCAUUGUCUGACAGAGCAUGAUGAUAAUAAACGACUGAUCUUAGUACAAUUUAUGUUAAAGUCAAAGACCCACGCAUGUUUUUCUUGUUGUCUUCAUGUUUAUAUGGUCUUUUUCUGUUGCUAGAGGACAUAUCAUGAGAAAACUAAGUGUGAAAUAGCAUUUCUGAGUAUUCCUGUAUUCAAAUCUCUGAAUCUCUGGCAGACCGAAACGGCAACGGCAGACUCAGACACAGUGAGAUUUCCUACAUCACAAAACCAAGCUCCGCCCCCAGAGCCCCGCUAUGCAGGCCAGACUCAGGGAAGUAGAGAGGACGAUCACCGAACAAUCGUGUUUGAGACAGUAGUGUCUGAGAGCUGAGUAGCUGCUAUGUUACCUGCUACUUCUACUACACUGACAAUGUUAGACUACAAGCUAGCGUGAAGAGGAGCAUGAAGAGGAGUGUGUAGAGCAGCGCUGUCUCCGCCCACGACUCAGAGGUGAAUUGCUAAUGAACUACUGGAGCUCUGCAGAAAAAAAGACCUUAAAAAUGACACAGUUAACAUGAUUUAGGAUAUAAACUUCAUAAUCACAAUUUAAAGACCACUGAGAACACUUUAAGUGGUAAAAUGUAGGUAGUAAGAUCUCUUUAAUGCAAUGUUUCAUGGUUAGUAAAGUCAGUCAAGUUUUGAGGAUGGACGCUCUUAACAUGUCUGUGAUUAAAGUCACACCUUGACCUUUUUGUUGUGCUGAAGUCGAGGAUUUUGAAAAUGUAAGUAGUGAUUGGCAGGCAUCAACAGCUGGUAGCUUUCACCUUACUGCCUGACGAGAACUUUUUUAAUAGUAUUGACUUUCAAGUUUAUGCUCAAACAGAUUUAUGAGGAAAACUGUUUUCAUAGACUUCGCUCACACUGCCACACAGUUUUUAUGAUCCUGACUGAAUCCACUAUAUUGUGUCGAAACUCACUUUUCUGGUGUAGUAAAUAAUUAAUUUUGUUUAGCUGUGAGCAGGGUGAACCGACCACUUAGCAAAAAAAUAGACACAGUGAGGUCAAGAACAGGGGGCAUCGCAAGCUUUACUUUUCGCUCUCGAUUCUGUUCCCCUCAACAUUCAGGGAUACUCCAAGCACCCUGUGGACAAAUGAGACAGCUCAUCAUAAUGACUGACGCAUGUGGGGCGUGAACUUGACCAAAUGAGAGGGGAAGAGGUGAGGACUCAUGAUUAAUUGUCCUGACUCGAGGCAAAAGGUUAUUUUUUUGUGAGGAGGAAGACGAACAAAUGUCUUCCAGUGAGUUUAAAGAAGUUUUAAAAAGUGUUGCUUUGUUUAAAAACUCAGUCAGUGCAAAGAGAGAAUAAAAGUAUCAUUUUGAGUGCGCUCUGAAAGAGCACGCUCAUUAUGAUAUACAAGAGAUUUUAAAGAACAUGAAUGAAUGUUUAACUCGAAAUCUAAUCAGCCUUUGUAUUUCAUCUUUUUUAUGUCAGAUUUAAACUUUCAAGUCCCUUUUAGUGAAUGUUUAAUUCAUCCCUCGCCUCAAAGUUUUAAACCCGCAUGAGUUAAAUGUAUGCAAAUGAACUCACAGUGACUUCCUUUCCCAUUAACUCACAAUGUCUCCUGCUGGGUGUGUCCUCGCUCUAACCCCAUGUGAUGGGAGGUGAGCGGAAAAAAGAAGCGUCCCAGGUCGUAUUCUCCAAUGACCCGAUAUAUUGCCUCCAUCUGAGCUCAAGAACAGAAAGUCCCCACACAUUUUUUCUCUUUUCCUCUGGUAAACAUGUUGAAAAGGUCUGUCUCUUUUGGCACAGAUACUACAACCAUUAAAUAAUUCAUGCCCUUUGGAGUUGAUUUAUGUAAAAAGACUGUGAAAGAUUUUUUGGAAUACAUUUAAGGAUUUGUGUUCUUAGGCGCUAAGUCUGCUUUCCUCUGUCUGAUAUGUGGGUUUUUCCAGAAUAAGGUGGCCGGGGAGCCAAGAAGGCCUUAUGCUUUUGCUGAUUAGUCUGUUGGAUUUAUUUAUUUAUUUCAAUAUAAGAAAAAAAAGAUCCAUUAUCUAAAGAGAGACAGGCACAGAGAGACUGAAUACUGCAAAAGAGAUAAAUCGUUAUAUAGAUAUUUGAUGUUUGGACCUGAUUAUCUGAUGAAGACACUAUGGCAAAACAUCAUGAAUAAACUAAAUGAGUUUAUUUUAGAGGGUUACAAAAUUUAAAAAAGGCCUCCUUUGCUUUUUUAAUCUGCUGGUUUUUACAUACAGUUUAGAUUUCAGCAACAUAAUCACUUUAAAUCAAAGUCGGGAUACAUCACGGUUUUAAUUAAAAUUUCUGUAACCUACAUUUUUCAAAAACAUCAUCACAGGUGCAACGACUCUUUUGUUCUUGUGGUACUUCCAUGGACUGUAUAUACUAUGGAAAACUUGGUUCCGCAUUCCGUCAUUGUACGAAUUUGAGGUCGAAUUGCUCUUGGUAACUCUGGGAUUUUAUCCACUUCCUGGAACGACCACUUGCGCAGUAGCGUUUUUCGCAUUCGGCGUGACUUUGGGAGAGUCCCCGAGAGUCACUGUGAUGACGCUCGGCUCAGACAGCAUAGUCCCGGGUGGGGUGAGCUACGCAAUUUUUUGUACGCCCAUAGGCUGUAUCAAGUGUCAAUCAUAGAAAACAUGAACCCCCUAAUAACUUUUAAAAACGGAGCUGCACAGAAAAAAAGAGGACUUUAUAAAAUUUAGAUUGUGUGAAAUUGAUUUCCAAAGUUUGUCCACAUCUCCACAGGGAUUGCUGGAGGAGGCAGGAUUUAUGACCUAUACUGCAGCCCGUCACCAGAGGGUGCUGUUCUCACUGUGGCUUCACCCAGCGAGGAGGCAGACGGCGUCCAUUCUAUAUACAGUAUACGGGUACAAUAUGAUCAUGACUUAUUUAAAGAGUGAAUAUUAGCUUUAAAGCGUCUGUAAGGAACUGAAGUUUGUGUGGCUUUUGCGCCCCCUGUGGACAAAGUGAUACCUCUAAACCUUUUGCUAAUGUUGUCCUGUGCAAAUCUGAGGAGUGUUGUCCAACAAAAACCUCAUCUUGAACAUUUGUUGUGGAGAAAGUAAAGUCACCAUCUUUAACUGUACUUUUUCAGGUUUUUUUAAUAAAGCAUCAUUUUCAAUUUGAGUCUGCGUCUAUCUGUUGUUCUCAAUGUUUUACACAACACCUGUGUUUGUAACAUGUCCCUCAUGAAUCGAAAAUAAAUCCCAAAGCAAUUUUAGCAAUUUUAAAUGAGCGCCAAUUAUGUGGGGUAGCAGGAAGCUAAAUUGAGCGGCGUCUGAUUGCAUAAAAAUGGUGUGGUAGCAUGACUGUGACGCACAGGUCUCCACAUACAAACAAACAAACGGUAGAAAGCUGUAAAAGCAAGGGUGUUUUCAUUGUUUGAAGUACAUCGCCUUAAGGCUCAUUUAUGCUCCACGCUACGUAUCAUCAUCCGAUUAAAAUAAUGGCCUGAGUCAUUUUUCGAUGGAAACGAGUUUUUAUCAACUCUUUUUUGCCAAUAAAUGACUUUGGCCAUUAUUUUAAUAGGGUGAAAAUAUGAAUCUGGAUAUGGAUGGAGCGCUUUGUUCUUUUCGUCCAUAUUUUUUCGUCCGGAGCAGUACCAUCGGAGACCGUGGGGGCAGUGUUGCAGCUCUCACUACCCGGCUGACAUCCUCAAGUACUGAAAAUGACGAUCGUCAUCAGUUUCUCUCAUCGGUACUACAGCAAAGAAUUCUCCGUCCUCCGACUGCGAGGCAUUUAGUGGCCCGACCAACAUCCGCCUCCUCCAACGCUGCCUGUUUUUCAGUCUCCUGUGCAAAAUAUACAUUCUCACUAGCUUCUCCACAGUCGCCAUGUUUGUUUUUGUUCGUUAUUGUCAGAAGGACGCGUGGAAGUAUGUGGGCAGUGACGGAACCAUCGUUUAAAACGGAUGCAUACAUUUUCAUACGUAUGGCGAGCAUAAAUAAGCCUUCAGCCUCUAGCUCAGUUUGCUAAUUGUUGUGAUAUAUUAGGGUGACCAUAUUCUUACUUCCCAAAAAGAGGAAACGACUACCCGGGGGUGGAGUCACAGAGUCGCACAAAGUAAAUUUUGAGAGUUUUUCGUGUCUAAGAGUCUAAGUGACACAAACUCGAAACUUCCAUACAAAACCGCGGACAUCUGAAGGAUUUUAUAAACUUCCCCGGACAAGCCCAGACAGCCCCAAAAAGAGGACAUGUCCCCACCUACCAUCCUGUAUGUUUCUGUCAAAAAUCAGAUUCUUGUAAACUGGUACAAGGACGGAUCGAGGUCCAGUUAAAUCGCCUUAUCGUGAUAACUGUAGCUGGACAACUGUGCAUGUUGAUGCACUGAGAGGGACAGAGACCGGACAAUGGACUUUGGUGACUCCUUGAUACUGUCUUGGCUGUAGAAUAAGACAGUAUGACACAGGCAGCGUAGUAUCUUACCUUCACCAAGGACACAUCUGUUGUAGGAAAACACAUGGGAGGGAAAGUGCAGCCUUUAAAAGUUUCAUCAUAAGAAAGAAGUGAACCAUUCGACCAGCAAAAUGUGGUGAAACCUCCGGAGAAAAAAGAAAAAAAACAUGACCAGUGGUCAGAACGCCACUUUCACAGGGAAGAAUACAUUAUUUAGCAGCAUUGGCUAAACUGCAUUCCAUGUCAGCUGAACCUCAUCGCUCCUGUGUACACUUGUUUGAUGAUUUAUUCACUCAGUGCAGGCCUGUUGGAUGUCAAUACAUCGUCUUUGCAAUCAUCCACGCAUGGCCCUCUCUCCCAGGUUGUAGGAGGAGGCUGUAGGGUUAAAAACCAGAGGUCGUGGAGUAGUUGGUUUUAAUCACAACCUUGUGAACAUGCAUUUGUUUUUCCUGAACUACAAGGAAUGUCAGUGACCUAUAGGGUGAUGCUCCAAAGCCAUCAAACGUUAAUAUUUAACAGCUUUUAGAGUACGAUUAAAGCCCGAGUGGAUUUGUUGAUGAAGUAAAAGCAGUUUCCCCCUCCAAUGGGAAC
rnacentral:lncRNA from 1 species